rnacentral:rRNA from 1 species
GCAAGUCGAACGCCCCACUUCGGUGGGGAGUGGCGAACGGGUGAGUAACACGUUGGAACCUGCCCCGAACUCAGGGAUAACCACCGGAAACGGUUGGCUAAUACCGGAUAGUCCCGAAAGGGUAAAGAUUUUUCGGUUCGGGAGGGGCCUGCGGCCUAUCAGCUUGUUGGUAAGGUAAUGGCUUACCAAGGCAAUGACGGGUAGCUGGUCUGAGAGGAUGACCAGUCACAAUGGGACUGAGACACGGCCCAUACUCCUACGGGAGGCAGCAGUAAAGAAUCUUCCACAAUGGGCGAAAGCCUGAUGGAGCAAUACCGCGUGAGUGAUGACGGCCGAAAGGUUGUAAAACUCUUUUCUGAGGGAAGAAUUCUGACGGUACCUCAGGAAUAAGCACCGGCUAACUCCGUGCCAGCAGCCGCGGUAAUACGGAGGGUGCAAGCGUUACCCGGAAUUAUUGGGCGUAAAGCGUCCGCAGGUGGUUUGUUAAGCUGGAUAUUAAAUCUCGUAGCCCAACUACGAGGCUGUGUCCAGAACUGGCAAACUAGAGGCAUUCAGAGGUGCGUGGAAUUCUGUGUGUAGGGGUAAAAUCCGUAGAUACACAGAGGAACACCAAAAGCGAAGGCAGCGCACUGGGAAUGUUCUGACACUCAUGGACGAAAGCGUAGGUAGCGAACGGGAUUAGAUACCCCGGUAGUCUACGCCGUAAACAAUGGGUACUAGGUGUUGGAGGACUCGAUCCUUCCAGUGCCAAAGCUAACGCAUUAAGUAUCCCGCCUGGGGAGUACGGUCGCAAGAUUAAAACUCAAAGGAAUAGACGGGGACCCACACAAGCGGUGGAGCAUCUGGUUUAAUUCGAUAAUGAGCGAGGAACCUUACCUGGGUUUGACAUCUUAGGAAU